rnacentral:rRNA from 1 species
CAUAGCUUUGUUGAUAUUGAUUCAAGGUAAUGUCUGCCCACUGAUUUAAUUAAAUGGCCGCGGUAUUUUGACCGUGCAAAGGUAGCAUAAUAAUUAGUUUUUUAAUUGAGAACUGGAAUGAAAGGCUUGACGAGGGAAUUUCUGUCUCAUUAAAAUUUUUUUUUGAAUUUUACUUUUAAGUGAAAAGGCUUAAAUUUUUGUCAGGGACGAGAAGACCCUAUAGAGUUUUAUAAAUUUAGGUUUUUAUUUAUUUGGAAUUUAAUUUUUAUUAGUUUGAAUUUAUUUGGUUGGGGUGAUUACUAGAUAGAUAGAACUCUAGUUUUUUUAACAUUGAUUUAUGGAUGUUUGAUCCUUUAUUAUGGAUUAAAGAAAAAAUUACCUUAGGGAUAACAGCGUAAUCUUUAUAGCGAGUUCUUAUCAAUAUAAAGGGUUGCGACCUCGAUGUUGGAUUAAAAUUUAUUCUUGGUGUAGUCGCUAAUGAAUUGAGUCUGUUCGACUUUUAAAAUUUUACAUGAUCUGAGU